rnacentral:lncRNA from 1 species
GGGCUGUCAGGCUUCAGCUGGGAGCCGAUGCAACACCCCAGCGGGGAGGGGAGGUCGGCCCAUUCUAAUCCCGACGUGUCCUUGGUCCCAGGCGCUCGGAGCAGCAUCUGAGAGGGCUCACUCUGAUCAUCAGCUGCACGUUAAGCCACAAACCGGCGUCGCUUCGGCGUUCCGGAACCCAGGCCUGGGGGCCGCGGGGAUUGCCUCUGCGUGCAACUCCGGAAAGUUUCAAGGGGUCCCCCGACUGCACAGCCUGGAAAGGAGACCCGCGCACUCCUCUCGCAGCUAAUUUCGGAUCAUUAAUUUAAUCGGAAAUGAGGUAACCAGUGUAGGAGACAGAGAAAGCAACCGGAGCAUCAAAUGGCAGUUCUCGAGAAUCGACGAGGAACUUAAAUCUGGACUCAGGGUUUCAGUGCGGUCUCCGACUCCCACCACCCCGCCCCUCCGCCUGUCUCGCCGCCAGGUGUGACCUCCACGCGAAGGAAUCUUCUUCGGAUGGGUGCACCUUGCCAACAGGUGUGGCACCUGGAGGACUAGGAGGCGCCUCCAGACUAAGGGCGCUCAGUGCGGCGUUCUUGUUGCAGAUGAUUCUGGAAGGCCGGUAGGUGUCGGGCGACAUUUGACCUUCUUCAGGUGCUUAGAACUAAGUGUCUGGAAACAUGAUCCUUUCGCGUAAGUUUCUUUCUGAAAGCCACCAAUCUUGACUGUAAGCUGUAUUUGAGAGAUCUUUUGGCUGAGUUUACUUAUGACCUAACGGUUAGUCACCAACUGAGGCAGGGCACAGGAUGACCAAAAAAAAA